UGCUUAGUGAUUAACUAUACUAAGUAAUCUCCUGCCCAAUGAUAAAUUUAAUGGCCGCGGUAUCCUAACCGUGCAAAGGUAGCAUAAUAACUUGCCUAUUAAUUGUAGGCUAGAAUGAAUGGGGUAACGAAAUAAGAACUGUUUCAUUUGUGUAAGUUUAAAUUAAUUUUUAAGUGAAGAAGCUUAAAUAAAUUAAAAGGACAAGAAGACCCUAUAGAGCUUUAGUAUAAAUUAUAAUAAUUAUAAAUUUACUUCGGUUGGGGCGACCUAGGAAAAAUCAUCCUAUAAAACAAAGAACUAUAAUUCAUAAAAUUGAACCUGUAAAGAUUAAAGAAAUAGCUACCUUAGGGAUAACAGGCUAAUUUUACUUUAGAGCUCUAAUCGAAAGUAAAGAUUGGCACCUCGAUGUUGGCUUAGAAAAUCAUAUUGGCGCAGAAGUCAAUAAAAGAAGGUUUGUUCAACCUAUAAUUUUC
rnacentral:rRNA from 1 species